rnacentral:rRNA from 1 species
UACGUAGGGGGCGAGCGUUGUCCGGAUUUAUUGGGCGUAAAGAGCUCGUAGGCGGUUCGGCAAGUCGGAUGUGAAAUCUCCACGCUCAACGUGGAGGGGCCAUCCGAUACUGUCGUGACUCGAGUCCGGUAGGGGAGUGUGGAAUUCCCGGUGUAGCGGUGAAAUGCGCAGAGAUCGGGAGGAACACCCGUAGCGAAGGCGGCACUCUGGGCCGGUACUGACGCUGAGGAGCGAAAGCGUGGGGAGCAAACAGGG